rnacentral:rRNA from 1 species
GGUUGAUCCUGCCAGUAGUCAUAUGCUUGUCUCAAAGAUUAAGCCAUGCAUGUCUAAGUAUGAACAAUUCCAUACUGUGAAACUGCGAAUGGCUCAUUAAAUCAGUUACAGUUUAUUUGAUAGUACCUUACUACUUGGAUAACCGUAGUAAUUCUAGAGCUAAUACAUGCGAAAAGACCCGACUUUUUGGAAGGGUUGCAUUUAUUAGAUACAAAACCAAUCUGGGCAACCAGCUUAAUGGUGAUUCAUAAUAACUUUUGCGGAUCGCAUGGCCUUGUGCCGGCGACGAAUC